rnacentral:lncRNA from 1 species
CCUUUCUUUAACGUUUGGCUUAAUGAAAGUGGCUACUAUGCUGAUAAACUCAACUGUUCGCUCUGAGGGGUUUGUUUCUGUUUGCAUAAGUGGUUAAGGAAAAAGGAAAAUCCUUCCAAAGUUAAAAUGGAAAGCCAUUUGCUUUAACAAAAAAAACCCCACAGCGCUGAAAAAUGACAUAUUUUGUGGAGUUCCAGAAAAUGUGCCUUAGUCUGAAGGUGGUUUUCAGAGAUAAGUUCUUGGGGCAGAAAGCAGCAAUCACUUUUUGAAAAAAAGCCUUUAGAAAUCUUUCUGCUUCUCAGUUCAUAUGCGGAGAUGUUUCUGAAUAUGUAGCAGGAGAGAAAAAAUGCAGGGAAGACCAAAGGGAUUCUUUCUAACUUGAACUGAUAAAGUCCUGAAAGAAUCCCAUCACCUGCAAAGGCAUAAAGAAGAUUUAAGCUACAAGGAGAAAACAAUUGCUCUGCCCAGCAUUUUCAGCCUGGAAAGUGAGCAUAGGUGUACCUUCAAAAAUUUUCGUUUGCUUCGUUAUCAUCAUCCCUAAAAUUCUAAUUUUCAGUUUUGUGACUUCGUUUUGUUUUAGUCAAAAUGACCGUGUUUAGUCACCAUGCAAGUACUUUUCCAUGCACAUUUGAAUGCAGGAUGCACAGUGUGAGAGCUGAUGAUCAAACUGUUUUGCAGAUCCGUACAUAGGCUCUCUUGAGUAUUCUGUGUUUUCUUCUUUCCAGUGACUGUCCCAUUUUAUGGAGGCAGAAUUUUACCCUUGAAAACUGAUGAACAUCUCUGUCCUAUUUAUUGCUUAACGCUUUUUGUGCUUUUGCAGUGUAAGUGCGUGCUUUAUUUUGGGCUCUUGUCAAAUAGUUAAAAAAUAAAUUCCCUUUAUUGUAUUUUACAAUGGGAGUGGGUAGGAGCAGCCACGUGGAAAUACUUCUGUCAUCCUACAGCAAGCCAUAAUGAAAUGUAAGCAGUUUUGCUGGGCUUAUUCUCAUUUAACAUCUAUUUUAUUUUCUGCUUGAGAAAAGACUAGUAUUCAAAACUGCCAUGUUAGUUCAGAGCUGGAUAUGGAAGAGCACAGAUUACUGGUAGCUGGUGCAAGGCCCGUGUGACAGCUGACUUUAUUUUUAGAAUAGGCUAGCAAAAUCCAUUCCCGGGUUGCUGCUCGUAAGGAUGCUAUGCUUCAAGCAUCUACAAUGUAGGUUACAUUCCUACAUUAUUAAUAUUGUAACUGGAAUGAAAAUCUGACAGGUAUAAUAUGGAGGGGGGAAAAAAACAAACAAACCCAAAACACCUCUAUUUGCAGCUACUUCACUACUCCAAACAAAUAAUGCUUUGUUUUAAAAUUUAAAUAUACAGAUGUAGUUCAAGGCAUUGUUUCCACCCAGGUGGAUGAAAGUAAUGUCUGUUUCAUCAGCAGUUCUUAGUGCAGGGUAUGAUAUACACCACUCACGGGACUGAACUUUUAAUAAAAUACUUCACAACUUCCCAUUGUAAAUCUUUACUAUCGCUGGGAGAUUAGUCACUAGCACAUGUCUCAUAUACCUGUUGCUCCUAUCAGAUACUUGCAGUAAAACUCAUUUCAGAGUUUCCAAAAUAAGCAACUUCUGAUGGUCAGUAGCUUCUCAGGUAUUCAAGAUGCAUCAUAAUAUUUCAGACGUCUCGUAUGUGAUAGUGCUAUAGAAAUGUGUUUUCAUGAGCUGAUUGGAAAAUUGAGUUUUCUAUUGGAACCAAAUUAACCCUUUCAUUGAUAUGCAAUGCCAAAACAUUUGUAUAAAAUUGUAGAAGAUGUUAAAUUUUAAUUUUAGAAUUCAGGUUGGGAUUGAGUAAGCUUACAGUGUUAUCAUUUGUAUUUUUCAUUAGGUGUGUGUAUUCUCUGUAGUUAAUGGCGAAGGUAGAAAUUGGUGGUUUUGCUGGUACAGCUUUUGAUGUGCAUUUCGCAGCACUCAGGAGAAUGUUAUUUUAAGCGCUUGCAUGUUGGAUGUUUCCCAGAGGCAGCACUGAGCUGCAUGUUGGUUUCCUUCUAUGAAAAGCAGGGAGUGAUAUAACUAGAAUUAAAUGCUUCCAGGUAGGUUUUUUCCCACGCCCCACUCAAGGGGCCCAACCUGCAGCUCAGUUCUCUAGAAUGAAGCGGGAGGUGCUGAGAGGUGCAUCAACAGUUGAUAUUUCUUUCUACGGGCUUCUCUCCCAGCUCAUUCUAUCCUGCCCUGUUGGACUGGCAGUCCAUUUGCAGUGGAAAGCCUUCGUUUUGACUUAGUGUCUUCCAGAAGGAGCUCAACUCUUGUAUUCCUACAUCAGUCUCCAGUGUAGGUCAGUGCACAGCUACUGAGGUCAUUUGGGCAGGAAUCAUCUCAGAGACACCAUCCUGUCCUGAUCUGAAGUGGCAGUGUGGGAGCGAGUGCUCCUUGCAGUCUUCAGGCCUUGGACCAGGCCUCCAAAUGCAGUGUGAGAGGGCAGUAGGGUUGGGGAUACUGACUCUGAAGCCCUGCAGUUUCUCUUGCAGGUUUAGUCUCUCAGGCCUUUGCACCAUACUCUGCCGUUCUGAUUUGCAUCUGUCCCCCAAAACAACUACUCGCUGUUAUUUGUUUUUAUUGUUGUUUUUAUGAGAGAAAUGUGCAUACUGAGUAAUUUAAUGGAGCCUGACUGAGGUCACCUGCUCACCAUGUUCAGUUCCUUCUGCACCUGCGUUCUGUCCAGGUGUCCUUGCUUCCACUGUCUGUUCACUUCCUUCUUACCCCUCAGUCUGACCAGCAGCUCCUUGCUCAGCUGUGCUGCUUUCCUGCCUCCUCUGUUUGAUUCCUUAUGCUGGGGAUGGAGAGCUCUUGUGCUCUCAGAAAAGUAUCCAUAAAGCGCUGCCAGUUCUCUUGUCCCUAAGGACAGAUUCCCAGGGUCUCUCAUGCACUAAUUCUUUAAGCAACAUGAAGUUGUCUCUCCUGAAUUACUGACUCCACUCUUUGCCCGGUCCAUCUUCCUUGGGAACAUAAACUCAGCCAGGGCAUGGUUGUUGCAGCCUGGGCUGCCUCUGAUCUUAACCUCUUUAAUAUUCUCCUCAAAUAAUCCUAUAUUUUCCAACAGCUAAAUAGUAUAUGAAUUUGGGGCCAAGUCUCUUACUAUAUGUAUUAGCCAGUCUUGCUUAUUUCAGACUAGGAAGAUUAAUUACCUGUAUUGCACAGAAUGUUUUUAAGAUGUUGUCUGAUAAUAAAGUUAGCAUGGAAUAGCAUGAUUCCCUUACUUUCCCUCAAUGAAACAAGCCAUGGGGAGGAGCUGAGGAGCAGUGCUAGUGGUGAGCUGGAGAAGUCACACUCCAGGUGGUCAGUCAGUCAUGUGUAUGAUGUCUUCCACCAUAUAAGAUAUCUUCUGUGGGUUUCUUUGUCAGGAUUUCACUUUUUUGGAAUAUUGGGUAGUUGCUGAAAUAUUACUUGCUCUUUUGAAUGGUUUAUAACUUUACUUGCAGCCAAAUGAAUAAUUAUUGCAUCUGUCAUACAAAUUUCCAGCAAUAUCUAUCCAUUCAUUAAGGUACAGGUUAGGAUGUUACCUGUACAUUAAGGAUGUACAGGUACAUAAAAGCCUGCAGGCUCUCUUCAUCCUUUCUGUGGUUCUUCUCUGUCUAAAUCCCAGCUUCAAUAUGUAACAUCUUGGAUGACAUCCAUCUCCUUUUUGAUGUG